rnacentral:lncRNA from 1 species
CCGUUCUCUUUUGUUUUCCAAGGAAAAAACAAAACACCCUCUCCCCUUUUGUCUUUCCAACGAUCGAGCUCCCUCACCGCCCACCGUACCACCACCAUUUUCGGUGGCCGGUGACGCGCAACAAUAGGUAUUUCAACCGAGGAGGGAUCUCCGGCGACGAAGCCCCGAGCGAUUCCGGUGAGGCCCUCUACUCCCUCAUUUUAUUUAUUUUCGUGCCCACUUUAUUUAAUAGAUUUGCAAGUAAAGAUAAAAAGAAACUAAAAGAGAUUAGCAAUGAAAUGAAAACAAAGAGAAUAAAUCGGAAAUCACCCUUUUUUUAUCUGUUUUGCUCUUGAUUUUUAUUGCUAAACGUUCGUGUCCAAAAAAAACUACAAAUGGAUGUUUCGACUUUUAUAACCGAAUUACAUAGAUUCGUUUUUUGUUUUUUUUCUUCUUGUCUGCUAUUUUUUCUUCUUCGUUUCUUGUGUUUCGCGUGCUAGUUUCGUCUUGCAGGUGUCAGGCGCGUGGAAGGCUGAUGGUUGGUGCCCCAAGCGGUGGUGGUGGCGCGCGUGAUGGCCAAGGGCAGAGGGGGGAGUGGCGGCUGAACUUUGGUGGCUAGGGUUAGGGUGGCUGCUGAAAAAAAGUUUAAGAUAGUGGGCUGACUUGGGCUUUAGGGUUUUAGGUUAUUGGGUUUAUUUUGGGCUAAAAUCUGGGUAUUGGGUUUUAAUUAGGUUUUGUUUUAAUUUUGGGCCAUGUAUUGGACUAUUUUUUUGUUUAUUUGGUUUGGGUUCUUUUAGGCCAAAAUUGGCUAUUACAAGAAACACUAAAAAAUAAAUCCAAUUUAACACUAAAAAUAUAUAAAAUUAGUUAAAAACAAAUAAAAUAAAAUUCUAAAUUCAUACUAGAAUAAAAUACACAUAACUUUAAGAUAUUAGAUUUAUCAAUGUCUUAUUC